UCCUUGGUGGCUCAGACGGUAAAGCGUCUGCCUGUAAUGCGGGAGUACUGGGUUCGAUUCCUGGGUGGGGAC
rnacentral:tRNA from 1 species